UACAGAUGCGUAGAAACGAGCAUUAGUUUGCUGAUACGUUGUGAGUUGUGAACUAAAACUCAUACAUGAUCUUGUGAGUGGUGAACUAAAACUCAGAACGAGCAUUAGUUUAUCUUUAUGAUUUUACAGAUGCGUAGAAACGUGAAAGCGGGUAUACCUUCAUACUAAUUGAUUACAUUAAAACACAUUUUGUAACUGAAUUGACAAGUUCCUUAACCACUUAGCUUCAUACCUUUGCCACAAAAUCUGAUCUUAUGUUAUGGCUUGUCUGUAAGAUCUUUGCCUUCGGCCUGGAGCUCAUGCUGCACUACUUUGGUCCGCUCGUUUUUGAAGGACCACAUCUCUCCACCAUAGCAUCGUACAGUUGCUUCCCAUU